rnacentral:rRNA from 1 species
AGAGUUUGAUCCUGGCUCAGGACGAACGCUGGCGGCGCGCCUAACACAUGCAAGUCGAACGAGAGAUGAGGAGCUUGCUCUUCAAAUCGAGUGGCGAACGGGUGAGUAACGCGUGAGGAACCUGCCUCAAAGAGGGGGACAACAGUUGGAAACGACUGCUAAUACCGCAUAAGCCCACGGCUCGGCAUCGAGCAGAGGGAAAAGGAGUGAUCCGCUUUGAGAUGGCCUCGCGUCCGAUUAGCUAGUUGGUGAGGUAACGGCCCACCAAGGCGACGAUCGGUAGCCGGACUGAGAGGUUGAACGGCCACAUUGGGACUGAGACACGGCCCAGACUCCUACGGGAGGCAGCAGUGGGGAAUAUUGCACAAUGGGGGAAACCCUGAUGCAGCGACGCCGCGUGGAGGAAGAAGGUCUUCGGAUUGUAAACUCCUGUUGUUGAGGAAGAUAAUGACGGUACUCAACAAGGAAGUGACGGCUAACUACGUGCCAGCAGCCGCGGUAAAACGUAGGUCACAAGCGUUGUCCGGAAUUACUGGGUGUAAAGGGAGCGCAGGCGGGAAGACAAGUUGGAAGUGAAAUCCAUGGGCUCAACCCAUGAACUGCUUUCAAAACUGUUUUUCUUGAGUAGUGCAGAGGUAGGCGGAAUUCCCGGUGUAGCGGUGGAAUGCGUAGAUAUCGGGAGGAACACCAGUGGCGAAGGCGGCCUACUGGGCACCAACUGACGCUGAGGCUCGAAAGUGUGGGUAGCAAACAGGAUUAGAUACCCUGGUAGUCCACACCGUAAACGAUGAUUACUAGGUGUUGGAGGAUUGACCCCUUCAGUGCCGCAGUUAACACAAUAAGUAAUCCACCUGGGGAGUACGACCGCAAGGUUGAAACUCAA